CGUGGUGUGCAUACGUGUGUGUGCAUGUAUGUCUGUGCAUGUCUGUAUGCCUGUGCAUGCACUACGUAUGUGCAUGUGUGCACACACAUGCGUGUGCACUGUGUGGUGCACGUUUCUGUGCACGCCUGUGUGCACUGUGUGGUGUCCAUAUGUGAUUCCAGCGUGAGUGUGUGUGAGUGCGUGAGGCUUGUGUGUCUGCAUUCAGCAUGCACACACCACUCUGAGUGUCGAGUGUACACCGGUGUGUGUGGUCUCACUGCGUGGAUGAUGUGUAUGCAUGUGUGUGCACACGUGUGGACCUCAGGCAGGGUCUGAGAGACUGGAAGUUCCUCCAGUUUAAAGGUUGUGAAAAACGUUAUGGUUUCCAUGGUGACCCUGGGCCAGCCUGGCGCCUGGACGGGCUCUGCUUGCUUUUCUCUGUGAUUGUUCCUCUUGUCCCCCUCAACCGUCCUCACCUUUUAGCCCCCACUCCCUUUCUGGGCACCCUGCUCUGCUCUGCUCCUCUGAGAGCCUGAACUUCCCAUGAGGCCUGCGCUCCCUUCCUUGAGGCACCCCCACCCUCUCCACACCUCCCCUCCCCCUCCCCCGCUGCCCCCAGUUUUGCAAUCUCGUUUUGCUUCCCCGUUGGUCGCUGACCGGGCCUGACUUUGAAAUCUGUUGAAAGGAGACCUUUCUCCUUGGGGCCAAUGUAAACAGCCGGUCAUGUUAACUCAUGUUCUCUUCCUCUCUCAGCCUGCCUCCCGGGGGUGCUUGGGGAGGGCUGAGCCCCUCUCCUCACGCUCCCCUGCCGGCCGGCCCGGCCCCUGGGGCGUGGUGUGCGCCAGCCGCUCGCUCCAGCACCAGGUCAGCUGCGCAGCCCCCAGCCUUGGCAAGCAGCCCAGGGAGUGUGCGAGGCCGCCCCGUCCCCGUGGGCCCCGCUGGGGCUCCAGCUGACCCUCUCCUCCUCUAGCCCAGAUCCGCGUGCCCUCCUGCCCUUGCCACACACAGGCGUCCCCCCGUCCUGCCAACCCCCCUCAGAAAUGCCUCUCCGAUCUGCCUGCCUGCUGAGCCCAGGUCCCGGAGGCUCUCGCGUAGGGCCGUGGUCUCCCUCUGAUGGGCUGUGAUGGCAUCCUCAAACUGGGCCUGGAGGGCCUUCAGCUCCUCAGUCGUGGCACUGAUGGUGGCCUGCGGGGAGAAGGGAGCCCACGGUGGCACCAGGGAGCUGGGCCCAGCAGUGGAGGGUGAGGCUGCUGGGAUGAGGAGACGUCCACGGCCCCUGACAGCUGUGAUGUCGCCCUCUCCUGCUGCGCAGUGCCCUGGGGAUGGGGCACAAGCCCUCCAUCCCGGCUCCGAGUCACCGAGCGUCCCCCAAGGCCCCGCUGCCUGGACGCCCCGGCCCCCCAGCAGGCGGCCUGCGCGUGCCUCUGUGCAGUCAGUGAGAAGGGCUCCCGUUCAGAAUGGGCAGAGAAGGGGGCUGCCUCCCACACCUGGCACCAUGGCCUGUGUUCUGUUCACUGCACACUGAACCAUACAUUCAACGCCAGUCAGGUAGGUGUCCAACCCUGCGUCCUUGCCAGGGACAGGGAGGAAAGGCUCGCCUGAAUUUAAAAUAAGCCAACAAGUACGGGAAUGAACGGCCUCGUCACUGAACAUGCUGGGAGCUGGAAGGACAGAGGCAGGAGGCAGGUGUGGGCCCAGCUAAUGGGGUGUGUGUGGCCAGGGAGGGCAGAGAGCUGGGGGUUGGCGAUCAGCCUCGCCCUCAAUCCUACCUGUUCCUGGCAAGGAGAGGAGUGGCGUCCGGUGCCUUGAGCCCAUUCCCUCCCUGCCCAGGGCACCCUCGCACCUGUGUCUGUUCAGGGCCAGCCCCUGCCACCCAGGACAGCAGCCCCGACCUCAACACAAACAGCCCCUCCUCAGGCCGCCUGGGCCCUUGGAGAUCCUGCUGUAACUCCUGCAUCUAUGUCCUAUCACUGGGCUCUGGCCACCCUCGCUGUGAGCCCUGCCCAGUCUCUUCAUCUCCCAUGCGGGACCUGGUGCCACGUCACAGAUGGGCUGAAGCCUUGGAGUUCUGCAAGCAGUAACAGACUCAAUGUGGGUGUCCUUUCCUGCCGAGAGUUUCCUCAGGUGCAGGGCCAGCCGCCUCGGGUUGUUUCUCCUUUGGAAGGAUCCCUCUGUUUGGGGGCCUUCAUGAGCCACCCCCAUCCCUCUAGGCAACACUUGCUGCAGUGCAGAGAAGAAAGCUUAAAAGCCCGAAAAUGCUCCAUCUCCCUGAUGGUGUGGGAGACGCGUGUAAGCGAGACACCCUCAGCUCCAAGGGUGGCACGCUGCUCCGUGGACCAGGCUGUGGAAGCAAUGCCUGUCAAAUCCACACAUGUAUAUUCUCUCUAUGCCCAGGCCCAUCUGGGGGGAGGGCAGCCCAGAGACACGUGUGCACCUGUGUGGGCUGACCUAUGCACAGUGUCACCAAUGUCUGUGACAUUGCUGUAACGGCAACAAAGCUGGAGGCAACCCAGACGCCCGUGGAAGGAAGAACAGCCACAGGAAGACCCAGUCCUGGCAGCUCAGCAUGCAGCCCAGAAACAGAAGAACAAAGCUGCAGAUACACAGCUGGGAAAGGCCACCGAGAUGCUUUGAUAAGUGAGAAGAGGAAAGCCCAGGAGCCGGCAUGGACUUUUCAUUCCUUUUGUAUUAAAAAUGCAGCGUUGGGGAGGUAACGCUGUAUAUUUCUGUUUGCAAGCAAUCUUUGGAGGGUGUUGCAUAACAGAAGAUGUAUCAGGUCUUUGUCCUGGGUCCUUGGAGGAAGCUUCUAAACCCUGGGGGUUUCUCAAAAGUGUGGAGCGUCUGCAUUAUUCCUGGCGGGCCCCUGGGACCACACCUGAGUUUAUGCUAAUGAGGUGACUCGGGGUGGGCUCCUACUGAAUUUCAGGAUGAGGACUGUGUGCUGAAAGACCCAUUAUUAGAGGGUUGGGGCUUUGAGCCACGGGAUGUCAGCCCAACCUCCCAGCAGUCACAGAAGUGGGCUUCAAUCACAUAACCAAUCACUCCACCGAUCACGUUACACAGUGAAACCCCAAUAAAACUCUGG
rnacentral:lncRNA from 1 species